UACGGAGGAUCCAAGCGUUAUCCGGAAUCAUUGGGUUUAAAGGGUCCGUAGGCGGUUUUGUAAGUCAGUGGUGGAAGCCCAUCGCUCAACGGUGGAACGGCCAUUGAUACUGCAAGACUUGAAUUAUUAGGAAGUAACUAGAAUAUGUAGUGUAGCGGUGAAAUGCUUAGAGAUUACAUGGAAUACCAAUUGCGAAGGCAGGUUACUACUAGUGGAUUGACGCUGAUGGAUGAAAGCGUGGGGAGCGAACAGG
rnacentral:rRNA from 1 species